AUUAACGCUAGCGGCAGGCCUAAUACAUGCAAGUCGAACGGCAGCACGGGUAGCAAUACCUGGUGGCGAGUGGCGCACGGGUGCGUAACACGUAUGCAAUGUACCUUUAACUGGGGAAUAACCCAUCGAAAGAUGGGCUAAUACCGCAUGAUACCACGAAGAGGCAUCUUUUUGUGGUCAAACCUUCGGGGGUUAAAGAUCAGCAUGCGCUCGAUUAGCUAGUUGGUGAGGUAACGGCUCACCAAGGCGACGAUCGAUAGGGGGUCUGAGAGGAUGAUCCCCCACACUGGUACUGAGACACGGACCAGACUCCUACGGGGGGCAGCAGUAAGGAAUAUUGGACAAUGGCCGAAAGGCUGAUCCAGCCAUGCCGCGUGAAGGAUGAAGGCGCUCAGCGUUGUAAACUUCUUUUGUUCGGGAAAAAACCCCCUUUUUCUAAAGGGGCUGAUGGUACCGAGAGAAUAAGGGACGGCUAACUUCGUGCCAGCAGCCGCGGUAAUACGAAGGUCCCAAGCGUUAUCCGGAUUUAUUGGGUUUAAAGGGUGCGUAGGCGGGCUAUUAAGUCAGUGGUGAAAGCCCCAGGCCUAACCUGGGAAUUGCCAUUGAUACUGAUGGUCUUGAGUACAUUUGAGGAGGGCGGAAUGUGUCAUGUAGCGGUGAAAUGCUUAGAUAUGACACAGAACACCGAUUGCGUAGGCAGCUCUCUAAACUGUAACUGACGCUGAGGCACGAAAACGUGGGGAGCAAACAGGAUUAGAUACCCUGGUAGUCCACGCCUUAAACGAUGAUCACUCGAUGUGUGCGAUAUACUGUACGCGUCUGAGCGAAAGCAUUAAGUGUUCCACCUGGGGAGUACGCCCGCAAGGGUGAAACUCAAAGGAAUUGACGGGGGCCCGCACAAGCGGAGGAGCAUGUGGUUUAAUUCGAUGAUACGCGAGGAACCUUACCCGGGCUUGAAAGUUAGUGAAUGAGACAGAGACGUCUCAGUCCUUCGGGACACGAAACUAGGUGCUGCAUGGCUGUCGUCAGCUCGUGCCGUGAGGUGUUGGGUUAAGUCCCGCAACGAGCGCAACCCCUAUGUUUAGUUGCCAGCAUGUAAAGGUGGGGACUCUAAACAGACUGCCUACGCAAGUAGAGAGGAAGGAGGGGACGACGUCAAGUCAUCAUGGCCCUUACGUCCGGGGCUACACACGUGCUACAAUGGAUGGUACAGAGGGCAGCGACCUGGCAACAGGAAGCCAAUCUCAAAAAGCCAUUCACAGUUCGGAUCGGGGUCUGCAACUCGACCCCGUGAAGUUGGAUUCGCUAGUAAUCGCAGAUCAGCAAUGCUGCGGUGAAUACGUUCCCGGGCCUUGUACACACCGCCCGUCAAGCCAUGGAAGCUGGGGGUGCCUGAAGCCGGUAACCGCAAGGAGCCGUCUAGGGUAAAACCGGUAACUGGGGCU
rnacentral:rRNA from 1 species